rnacentral:rRNA from 1 species
AUUGAACGCUGGCGGCAGGCCUAACACAUGCAAGUCGAGCGAGCGGCGGACGGGUGAGUAAUGUAUGGGGACUGCCCGAUAGAGGGGGAUAACUACUGGAAACGGUAGCUAAUACCGCAUACCAUCGGAUUGCCCAGAUGGGAUUAGCUAGUAGGUGGGGUAAUGGCUUACCUAGGCGACGAUCCCUAGCUGGUCUGAGAGGAUGAUCAGCCAAACUGGGACUGAGACACGGCCCAGACUCCUACGGAGGCAGCAGUGGGGAAUAUUGCACAAUGGGCGCAAGCCUGAUGCAGCCAUGCCGCGUGUGUGAAGAAGGCCCUCGGGUUGUAAAGUACUUUCAGUGGGGAGGCGUUACCCACAGAAGAAGCACCGGCUAACUCCGUGCCAGCAGCCGCGGUAAUUC